UAGUGCUGCAGCUAAACGCAUUAAGCACUCCGCCUGGGGAGUACGACCGCAAGGUUGAAAAUCAAAAGAAUUGACGGGGCCGCACCAACGGUGGAGCAUGUGGUUUAAUUUGAAGCAACGCGAAGAACCUUACCAAAUCUUGACAUCCUUUGACCGCUCUAGAGAUAGAGUCUUCCCCUUCGGGGGACAAAGUGACAGGUGGUGCAUGGUUGUCGUCAGCUCGUGUCGUGAGAUGUUGGGUUAAGUCCCGCAACGAGCGCAACCCUUAAGCUUAGUUGCCAUCAUUAAGUUGGGCACUCUAAGUUGACUGCCGGUGACAAACCGGAGGAAGGUGGGGAUGACGUCAAAUCAUCAUGCCCCUUAUGAUUUGGGCUACACACGUGCUACAAUGGACAAUACAAAGGGCAGCUAAACCGCGAGGUCAAGCAAAUCCCAUAAAGUUGUUCUCAGUUCGGAUUGUAGUCUGCAACUCGACUACAUGAAGCUGGAAUCGCUAGUAAUCGUAGAUCAGCAUGCUACGGUGAAUACGUUCCCGGGUCUUGUACACACCGCCCGUCACACCACGAGAGUUUGUAACACCCGAAGCCGGUGGAGUAACCAUUUANGUUGAUACCCGGAUCAA
rnacentral:rRNA from 1 species